rnacentral:rRNA from 1 species
AACGAACGCUGGCGGCAUGCCUAACACAUGCAAGUCGAACGAGACCUUCGGGUCUUGUGGCGCACGGGUGCGUAACGCGUGGGAACCUUCCCUUAGGUUCGGAAUAACUCCCCGAAAGGGGUGCUAAUACCGGAUAAUGUCUUCGGACCAAAGAUUUAUUGCCUUUGGAUGGGCCCGCGUUGGAUUCGCUAGUUGGUAGGGUAAAAGCCUACCAAGGCGACGAUCCACAGCUGGUCUGAGAGGAUGAUCAGCCACACUGGGACUGAGACACGGCCCAGACUCCUACGGGAGGCAGGAGUGGGGAAUGGUGGAAAGUGGGCGAAAGCCUGAUCCAGCAAGGCCGGGUGAGUGAUGAAGGCCUUAGGGUUGUAAAGCUCUUUUACCCGGGAAGAUAAUGACAGUACCGGGAGAAUAAGCGCCGGCUAACUCCGUG